GAUGAACGCUAGCGGCAGGCCUAAUACAUGCAAGUCGAACGAUAGUGAGAAGCUUGCUUCUCACGAAAGUGGCGCACGGGUGCGUAACGCGUAUGCAACCUACCUUAAUCAGGGGGAUAGCCCGAAGAAAUUCGGAUUAACACCGCAUAAAAUCACAGUAUAGCAUUAUACAAUGAUCAAAUAUUUAUAGGAUUAAGAUGGGCAUGCGUGACAUUAGUUAGUUGGCGGGGUAACGGCCCACCAAGACCACGAUGUCUAGGGGAUCUGAGAGGAUGACCCCCCACACUGGUACUGAGACACGGACCAGACUCCUACGGGAGGCAGCAGUAAGGAAUAUUGGUCAAUGGAGGCAACUCUGAACCAGCCAUGCCGCGUGCAGGAAGACAGCCCUCUGGGUCGUAAACUGCUUUUAUUCGGGAAUAAACCUAUCUACGUGUAGAUAGCUGAAUGUACCGAAGGAAUAAGGAUCGGCUAACUCC
rnacentral:rRNA from 1 species